GCGGGUGUAGUUCAAUGGGAGAACACCAGCCUUCCAAGCUGAAUACGUGGGUUCGAUUCCCAUCACCCGCU
rnacentral:tRNA from 1 species